UGCUGGCAUUAGGAGUGAUUUAUGCCCCACCAUUACAGAAUUAGGGUAUUCUGAAUUUUGCCGUGUGCUUACCUUCACCAGACAGUCUUCUGCUUUAUAUGUUUUCAUGUUCCACGUGGUAUCCCUACCUUUCAACGUGAGGAACUCCUUCUAGCAUUUCUCAUAAGACAGGUCUGGUUGUGAGGAACUCCCUCAGCUUUUGUUUGCCUAGGAAAGUCUUUUUCUCUCCAUUUCUGAAGGACAGCUUUGUCGGGUAAGGUAUUCUUUGUUGACAGUUCUGUUUUGUUUUUUUUCCUUUCAGCACUUUGAGUGUAUCCUCUGUCCCGACCUUCAUGGGUUUGCUGGGAAAUCCUCUCACAGUCUCACGGGGGCUCCCUUGUAUGUGAUGUUAUGGAUCUGGGUGUUCAUCUCUUCUCCUGGAGACUUGGGAAGUCAUCUGUCCUGAAGUCAGUGUUUGUGGGGGUGUGGAGGCUGGGCUCUCCUGGUCCGCCAUCUUGCUGCCAGCACUCCAGGCAUCUCCCCCUUUGCUGCUUUAGACAUGGUUUCCUUUGGUUCUUUGAACAUACUUAAAAGAGCUGAUUUAAAGAUUUUGUCUGGAGAAGACAGUGUAAAGAUAGAGCUGAGAGAUUUGAGGAUGCUGACAUUGAAGCCUGGAGGGAUGUGUCCACAAGCCAAGGAAUGCCUACAGCCACCAGAACCUGAAAGAGGCAAGGGAUGGAUUCUUUACUAGAGCCUCUGGAGGAGGCACUGCACUGACUGUACCUUGAUUUCAGCCCAGUGAGACUGAUUUCAUACUUUUGUCCUCCAGAACUGUAAGAUGAUACAUUUCUGUUGUUUUAAGGCACUAAACGUGUAGUAAUUUGUUACAGCAGCCCUAAGAAACAUACAGGGGAUGUUUGAUCAUUUUUAUGGUUUGGACAAUGUCCUUGUUUUUGUCCAAGUUCAUGGGUUAUGGGUUGAAUUGUCUACUCCUCAAGUUCAUAUGUUAAAGUUCUAACCCCCAGUCCUGUAGAAUAUGACCUUAUUUAGAAAUGGCCAGUAGUGCGGGCCCCUAAACCAAUAUGACUGGUGUCCUUACAAAAAAGGGAAACGUAGACAGAGAUGCACUACAGGGGGAGCACCAUGUGGAAAUCGGAGUUCUGUUGCCAUAAGCCCAGGAACCACCAGAAGUUAGGAGAGAGGCCCGGAACUGCUCCUUCCCUUGCACCUUCAGAGAAAGUGUGGUCUUGCAGACACCUUGAUCACAGGCUUCCAGUCUCCAGAACUGCCAGACCUUACGUGUUAUCUAAUCCAUGUAGUUUGUGGUACUUUGUUACGGCUUCCUGGCCAAUGAGUACAGUUCAGAGAUGAUUACAGAGUGGUCUUGCUUUUGUCUUGCCUGUGACCUUGUCUGAUGUUGACAUUGUAUGAAAUUGUUUAUGUUUGACAGGAAAACUCCAGCGCCUAGCUGUGAGGGCUGGGCCAGCUCUCCCAAAUGACAGGGAUCGCUUUUCUCUUCCUUAUCACAGAAUCUUUACUCAUCUGAUAAAUGUUCACUUUAUGUUGUCUUUAAGCAUUGUAACUAAUUCUUUCUAAAAAAUAUUUAAACCUUCGAUCCAUUUGGCAUUUAUUCUGGAGGGGAGAUGGGACAGAGGUAUAUGGCCUCAAGUAGAGGCUGUGAUCAAAGGGGCUUGAGGUCCAGACUUGCUGAGGUCUUUAUGAACCUGAGUUCAAAGCUGUCUUAGACCAAUCCCCUCAAACUGCUUCGAUUACUAGGAGUAAUCUCAGAACAGUCCUUUAGAGCAUUUAGGGAGUAGUUUCUUUCUCUCUUCCUUGUCAUUCUUGAUCGAAGGAAAGGCGUCAGCCCCCUUUAGUUACAACAGGUCAUGGCUGUGAGUGCUUCUCACUACAGCCAUUAAUUUGGAGGAUAGGUUCAUCAGCAGAAAACCCUCCCAGAGCCCCACGUGCCCUGGGCAUCUCCUCUGUCUAUUUGGAUAAGUGCAGUGCGGGAUCAAUUAUGGAUGAGGCUCGAUGGGAGAUGAGUAAGUGGGCUGUUGUCUACUUUGAAAAAUUAAUGGGAUCUGAUUAACACAAGAGCACACUCUCUCUUCCUCAAGCCAGAGAGGCUCAGAUCUCCACAGAAGCUCAGGGGCCGGGUAGCGGGGAGCAGUAGCCCCUGUGUCUGUGUGGGGUUAGAUUUGAUUCAUGGAAUCAUACUUUAGACUUAUCUACCCCCUUGACAGAUGAGAAUACUGAGGACCUUCAAGGUUAAACAAUUUGCCCAAACAGCAAAGAAGGAAAGAAAAAUAGCCAAUUACUGGGUUUUAAAAAAAGUUUGCUUAUUUAUUUUGAGAGAGUGAGAAAGUGAGAGUGUGCACGUGAGUGUGAGCAGGGGAGGAGGGGCAGAGAGAGGGGGAGAAACCCAAGCAGGCUCCACACUGUCAGCACAGAGCCCGAUGCCAGGCUUGAUUUCACAAACUGUGGGAUCAUGACCUGAGCCAAAAUCAAGAGUCGGGCGCUUAAAAUAAAUUUUUUUAAUACAGGAAAUUUAAAACCUAUGCAAAGUAGAGAGAAUAAUAUCAUGUAGACAUUCUCAAACUUUUUCGUCUCAUUUUACACUUACACUCUUAAAAUUUUUUGAGAACCUCCAAGAGCUUUUGGACCUGUGGGUUGCAUCUAUUGCUGUUUGCUAUAUUAGACAUUAGAACUCAGACAUUUAAAAAUAUUAAUUCACUUAAAGAUAAUACUCCCAUUACAUGUCAACACAAAUACUUUUGUCCUUGAUAAUUUAUUUCUACUAUAGGAUUUAUUUUUAUUUAUUUAUUUAAAUGUUUAUUUUUCAGACAGAGAGAGAGGAGAGUGUGUGCAAACAGGGGAGGGGCAGAGAGAGAGUGAGACAAAGGAUCUGAUGUGGGGCUUGAACUCAUGAACCAUGAGAUCAUGACCUGAGCUGAAGUUGGACGCUUAACCGACUGAGCCGCCCAGGCCCCUCUCUGCUAUAAGCUUUUAAAUGCUAGUUAUACAUCAUCUGUUAGAUUUUACUUUAUUUUAUUUUGUUGUUAUUGUGGUAAAAUAUAUCCAAAGUUUACACUUUUAACCAUUUUUAAAUGUACCAUUC